CAGUGCCACGCAGGCUGGCUGUAAGGGAAGGCCCCGGCGUGUGGUUAUGGCAUUCUGAAGGGGAUUUGUCCUUUAAGAUAUAGAUUAAUAAUUAAAGGAAGGAAAUACCACGUCUGCCGCCAUGGAGCUUUAACCAGAAGGUGGAUGCAGAGGGCUUUCUCGUCAGCUGCUACUUGUAGUUGUUGCACCAUGACUACUACCUCAUCAGAUAGCUCUAGUGGCUAUGAAAAACAGCAGAAGGAAUUGAGCCGGAGUUAUGGUAGCUCUCUUUUUGACUAUUCAGAAGACACCUGGGAGCCCUUCAGUGAGGAAGAAGUAGCCUGCUGCCAGCCUGAGAGCAAAUCAUCUGAACUGUAUUGUUCCACAGAAGAUACAGAGCAUUCUUGUGUGUUGGAUCCAUUGGAAAGCAUGUUGUGGCUGGCAGGCCGGAAUCACACAGAAGAACCAUCUGAAGUAGUUGAUUCUGCAGCUGUAGAAAGAGAUUUCAUUGGGAAACUGAUUGAUGUCCUAAAAAAUAAGGAAGCUGGCAUUAAACAAGAGAAAUUAGUCAUCAAAACUCAUGCUGAAAUUACGGAGUUAUCAGAGGAAGAACUGAAUGCUCUCCAGUCUUUUUGCAUCAUUAAGAUAAGGAGGAUGCUGCGGGAGCUGAUCUCUAAGCAGGCAAGUGGUGGCAAGUCAAGAAAGCAGCAGCAUGGAUUCACAUCAAAGGCAUCAGAGGCAAGUGACUUGAACUGCUUUGUUCCCGAUGGGCUCAUGAACAGAAUCCGUCUGAAGAACUUCCGGGAGACCGUUAAGCAGGUGACAGAAGCUCAAGUGCACAAAUCUUCACUGUGCCCUGACUGUAAGAAGAAGAAGGCAGAGCUAGCCAAAAUGGCCUUUCUCAGACAGAAGAAGAUACUAAUGGAAAGAGCUCUACUCCAAGAAAAAUUGGAAGAACAAAUUUACUCCAGAGAUGUGCUCACGCUUAUAGGAGAAACACUCAGAAGCUUUCCUAAACUUUCAGAGGAUCCCAGGAACGUAUGGCAAAAACUGAAAGACAAAGCUGAAGGAUCGACCGCGUUCUGUGAACAUCUGAAAUCUUCAGCUUCAUUGAAAGGAUGAGGGCCGGACAUUUUAAGUGAGGUUGCUGAGUGCAGGCUGCAGGUGUCUAGCCUCUGUGAAGUGGAUGGAAAGCAGAGGAUGCAGGCUGGGGUCUGGCUGAUGAUGUGCUGCUGCUCCAGGUGGGCUUUGGUCUUCUACCAAAAGGCUCCAGAAACAGAAUGUAUGGAACGUGGCAAACAGAGGUUAUGGGUGACUUGAUGACAGCACACGCAAGGAGACAAAACUUGAUUCACUCUUCGGUGUGGCAGACCAAAGUGUGCAACAAGCUGAUUUGAAGCAAGGCUGGAGGUGGGUUUUUACUUUUUAACUAUACCAGUGAUUAAUUACAGGAAACCUUGUCCAGGCAUCGCAAUUACUUCUUACAACCAUUGUUUUCGGUUGGGCUCGCCCUCUAUUCUGUAACUCAGGCAAGGGGUUGUAUCAAGGAUGUCGUUUAUGGUCUUUGUUACAAAUGAAAUGAAACAAUUCAAAUGGUUCUUCCUGGAGGAUGAAAAAAAAGUUGUAUGCAUUUACCCUGGGGAGUGGAUGAUGGACGUUCUGUAAGGGAAACCUAAAAUGCUGGAGGGGGAAAAGACCAGUGCCUGUGCUGUAGCGUCCUACCAUCUCCUGUGGUCCUUGUCUGAAAUAUGCUUUUAAUUUAAUAUUUCUCUCACUUAUAGAAUGGAUAAUGGAGGAGAUCUCACGUUCUUCUCAAUUUAGGCAUUUCAAUAGCUUAAGAGAGUUUGUCAAUAUUGUAUUAACUGUACAGUCUGGCUGUGGUCCCUUGCUAAACCAUCUCUGACUGGAGAUGCAGGCUCACAUGGCAUGUGUCUGCUAGCUGUUUCUGUUACUUCUGUUCUCUGUGUUUAUUUGUUUAGAACCACGUCCGGGCUCACCUGGUGUCACUGAUUUCUGUAGGAUCAAGCACAGCUCUGAGUGUCUGGCUUCAGGGCUUUUAUUCCUUGUUCAUCUCUUCUAGGGAAGGCUGAUAAAAAGUAAUUCAAAGGUGCCCAGUGGGUGCAGAGCUACAAUAAGCUGAUGCUGUCUGUAAGCAGUGAUGAGACGACCUCAGCGGUCCUGCAGUAUGAUCAUACUCAUCCAAAUACAUAGAUGAGACAAUCUUGUUAAAUAAUUGAAGUGGUAUUAAGUUCAGGCAUCUCACAUUUAGUACUUUUCAACUCUCCUGCCACUUAUUCCAUUGCUCUUUGCAGAGAAAUUACACUUUCCUAGUUUUAGCGUUUGUUCUGCUCUGUGCCACUGGCUCCCAGCAGCUCCUGCAGACCUCCCGACCUCCCUCUUUCAGCCUCUAAUAUCAUGACUUGUUUCCAUGGAGACCAGAGUAAAGCGAUAAAUAAAUGUGGCUGGGAAUAGCAAGCUUCCACCUUCUGCAACUGGGAUAAAACCUGGGGAAUCAUUGCCUGCUCUGUGUUACACAGAGCACAGAGGAGCCCCUGGUACUCUCGGUGGCUUGCAGGCAGGGCUGACACAGUGUGGCUCAGCACCCCAAAUAUUCGGGGUACACUGAUUUUUGUGGCUUAAGAGUGUUUACUGAGCAACGUAUCUUCAGGUUGUGUGAGUGAAAAUAGUGCUGGUGCUUCUCUUGGACCUGGCUGAUGGAGAUGUAGCCUGGGAGCCAGAAGCACUUGGGUUUCGGUCCCAGUUGUGCCAGAAGAACAUUUCUUAUUCCUUCCCUGUGCUUUAUUCAUGAGGCUAUAAUACUUUUGGAGCAGGAAUCAUAGAAUCAUUAAGGUUGGAAAAGGCCAUGAAGAUCAUCUAGUCCAACCAUCAACCCGUCACCACCAUGCCCGCUAACCAUGUCCCUCAGUGCCACAUAGACCCUUUUCAGGGAUGGUGAUUCCCUGGGCAACCUGUUCCUAUACUUCACUACUCCUGAGAAGAAUUUUUUCCUAAUAUCCAAACUGGGAGGAAAUUCCUUUCUGGGAAUAGUUUAUGUGCUGUCAGUCCCAGGGAUGGCUUUGUUAUGGUUAAAGUUUUUAGGUAAUUCAAAAAUUGAAAAUUAAAAAAAAAUAAUCAGGAAUGCUUCUCAGUGCCAAUACUGUGUUUCAUUCUCCCACAUACUGGCAUCUGGUUGCAGGAAUUGGUCGGGGAUACUAAUGAUCACAGGGCUUGUGAAGCUGCCCCAUUAAUUAAAACAGAAAACUGGUCCUGGACUACACUGUGUGGCUUCAGACAGAAUUUUCCUCUGAUUCUCUGCUUAGAGAGAGGCUGUUUUCAGCAUAAAUGGCUUUUCUUUUUGGAGGAUUCAACUUAAUCCAGACCCACCAUGAAUAUUAUCUCACACGGUGGAGCAGGUGAAUUUUGUCAGACUGAAUGCUGUCUGAAGUUGUGGUAGGCUCUGUCUGAAUAACUCUAACCCCGACUUCUCUUUGCCUCUGGUGAAAUUAAAAGCUGAGCUCACAUCUGAAUGCUCAGGUGGUUCAUUUUAAAAUAAGUGAAAUAAAAUUUGGGACUUCCAAAGUGGGAUUGGAAACUUUAAAUCGUAUUAGAUCUGAACUGUCACCUCUUCAUGCUCAUUUUACUAUCAGCUCCUUUCUGUCUUGCCGCACUCAUUAAUUCUUCCCAAUAUCACAUUUGUCUGUGAUCAGGCAGUCUUUCCCAGGCCUUUUUAUUACUCAUUACUUGAAUCGCUCUCUCUUUAUCUUGUUUGAUUCUGCUGGGACACCUAGGGAAUUUUCCAAGCUAUGAGCACAGGAUUGUGCAGAAAUCACUGCCUGCCAUUGAUGCUUCAUUUGAAGAUGCUCUCUUGUGAUUUACCAAUAAACUAGCAAGACACUUUGCUGCUAGCAGCCUUAUACUGCUGAAAAUUGUUUUUCAGGUGAGAUGGUAAAUUAUGGUCUCUCGCUUCCUGUAGGCAUAGCUGCUUAAUAGAUCUAGUUUUGGUGUCUGAUGUAGUCAAACUAAAGGUCCCUAGUGUUUUCCUUCCCUUAUGUUACAAUAACAGUUGUUUUGUGCUGCUCUUCCCAGAAGGAGCUGCUUUUCAUUAGAGUUUCUACUUGCAGUAUGGAUUGAGGAAGGGAGACUGACAUGGCAAGAAAUACCUUCUUUCUUCACUCUUUUCAGAGGCAUGCUGUUGAUGUGCUGCACUCUAGACACUGGGUUUAGGUAUGUGUCUGUUCUUAUGUACUCCAGUCUGGAAUCAUAGAAUCAUAGAAUCGUUUGAGUUGGAAGGGACUUUUAAAUGUAAUCUAGUCUAACUCCUGAGAUUUAUGCUGCCAGCAGGAUACAGGUCUUAUGGCUGAAGGGAUGCUGGGGAGAACUGCUCUCUGUAGCUGCUUGGCCCUCUGAGGGGUGCCCUGUAGCACUACCUCAUUUAUUAUGGGCCUCCCGUUUUGGUUGUCUGAACAGUUGUGUUAGCAGUUUACUGCAAGUGAACGCUUAUUCCUCUCUCCUGCUCUCUCCAGUUCCUUCCUGUAAUGUUUGUUAACGUUAUCUUUAAGACUCCUCCUAAUUCUAAGUUCUGAAACAUGCUUCUGAUUAACUAUCACCUACAAAUGCCAUUUAAAAACAAAAUACCAGAAUUGUCCUUGAACACUUAUCUGUCCUUUUCCUGCUCCAGUGGGACUAAAUUAACCAAUUACAAAGAAAUAUGGAAAAUGAAAGUGCGUCAGGAACUGCAUGUCCUUUGUAGAAUCCUGUUUGACAGCCUGAUUAUCCUCAAGAAAAAAGAACCAUCCUGGUACAGUCCUGGAGGAGAAGGAUUAACAACCCUGGAAGCAAUGAAAGAAGAUUCACACUGAUGUGAAGAAGACAGAUGCGUGUGUAAUUCAAGUUCAUCUUGGCAGAGUCAUGCUGAAAAUGCCCAUCCGACAGUUUUAAUGCUGGCAGGAAAAGAGAAGUAUGAGGGGGCUGGGUAAGUGAUGGCUUGUUCCAGUGCAGCGUGAGCUCCAGUGGCGAAGCUGUGCUCACUAAGAAACCCUGUGCCCGGGGUGGCUGCUCUCUGUGAGUACACAUCAAGGUGACAGAGGACACCAGCUGAGACGAUCGCUCAACGUGGACUGCUAGUGCUCAGUGGUGAGAGAUGUGAGCUGUUUUUGCCUUGGGUGGCAAAGUGUAUCUGCACGGAAGAUUUGUGGCUAUACCUGAAUUUGGUGUAACGUGCUAGCACAGAUGCUGAUAGUAGGGUGGCUGCGGAAACAUAGAGCUCAGCACAGACCACUCACUGCCCUUCAGAAGGUAGGUGGAUAUAGCAGGCUUUCUGCACAAAGAAAUUGGAAAAUGCGUUAUUCUCAGUUGUUUGUUGAAAUGAGCCUCCUUCAAACACACACCUCCCGGGAAUCUGGUCAUCGCUUUGGUCUUCGUGGUCACAGCAGUGGUACACACAUUUGUCCUCUUUCCUUUCCUUAAGUUGUUUGCAUCGGUGGAGCGCAGCACCUCAGACUUAGCACUGUGCAGGGCUCUUGUGACAUCCUGGCAUCAGGGCAGUAAUGUGCGUUAUUACAGAAUUAGCAGGCUUUGGUAGUGCUGGAGCAUUCACAUGUAGCCUCAGUAGAAAUUCCUCUGGGGCUCAAUGUCUGUCAGUCCAGAAUGCUGAGCAGGAUUUCAGAAGGGAUAAAGCCUUGUGGGAAAGUGCCAGUAUUUCAUCUUACAAACAGCUGAGGCGAGGAAAGCAUUGCUGGCUGUUAUUGUGAUAGGUUUUAAUAACCGGUACGCCCUGACUGUGUUACAAAGUGGGAGGGGGCUAAAAUCUGAGCAAAAGAUGGGAUAGAUUUUCCUUUGAUUUAAGCUAGGUGCUUCAGCACAGGGGUAUUGGAUACCUGCAGGAUACAGCACGCCUGGAAAGGCAGGUGCUUUUGUAAAUAAAGUUUCUGUACUGAUGGUACAAGUGAGGAAGGCUUGGGUGAGGCAUCGUGGUUCUGAAUUGGUGACCUCCAUCUGGGUUAUUUUUCUGUGGAGAGCGUCCAUCAGCACACUUAACAUUUUGAUUUAAUACAACCAAGCAACCAUCUGCUGGCUGGAAAACACAGCAAGCACAUUAUGUGUGUAGAUAUCUGUUUGGGGGGCACAUUGCCAUUCUUAGGAUGUUUGAAAUCCCAGUUAGUCUCCUCAGUCUGAUGGAAAUGUGAUUUGCAUCAGAGAGAGAGAGGAGAGGAAAAAAAAAAAAAGAAUAUCCAAAAGAGGAAGGCUUGUAAGGCAGUAGGCUAGACCAUUAUCUGCUGCACUGUCUGAAUUUCAUCAGUGGAAAUUGCUUCUUAUUUGCGAAACAGCUGUCACAAAUUUUACUCCAGAGGUGGUGAGUUUUUGUAAGUGUACACACACAAUAAUGGGUUUUGAUUUCCACAGAUAAAAUCCUGUCCUGGCUGUGAAAUGUAAGCAUUUUGGAUGCUGAGUGAAAACAGUAUUGUUCCUUUGUGUUAAAGAAGAACAGCAGUCCCUUUCCACUGAAACUUGCUGAUGAUGGAGAAUGUUUCCUUCUCUUUACUGUGAAUACACGAACACCCAAAAAGUCAUCCUCCCUCUGCUUGGCGCAAAAAAAAUCCCAACAACGUGUGUUGGGAUUGGGCUGCCCAGGUCAUUUUCGCUCUCACACAGUUUCAGCUCAUCUUGCGUUCUUGACACAGUUUGUUGGCUCUGGAUAUAUCGCAGGACAGAGCGAGCUGGUUAAGAUGGGAAGAUAGGGGGAUGAGGUAAAGAAUUUGGAGGACAUGUACGCAAAGAGAGAGAGGAUGUCCAUGGGAGCCAUGAAGCAGUCAUUACGGAGUGAAUAAAAUUAAACAGCAGGAAAGUAGACGAGGUAUGUUCUGUUCCUGGCACCGAAACUGAUCUCUGCAAUGAUUUUGGACAAGGUACUUGAUUUACUUGGCUGUCACUUUUCUUGCACAGUGCUGGAAACUUGACUUGUUGUUGCUGCUGAUCAGUUUUUAGGUGGAGCCCUGAUGGCACACUGCUCCUGGGGAACACGCACACAGCUGGGUGCCUGCUGCUGCCUUCUCUCCUGCAGGAUGUCUCCUGAAAUUCUGGUCAAUCUCAGUACAAACUGUUUUUUGGGAGAGGACAGUUACUGCUUUCAGGACGAAUGCAUAUCACUGAAGCAGGUACCUGGAGCUGGAAACACUUCUGCUUUGUGAUGCUGAUACAUGCAACUUGGCAAGUCUGCCUGUUCUUGCAGAGCAGAUGAGCACAGAGUGAGGCAGGAAGAACAGGUAGCAGAUGUAGAAUACUUCUUACAUACUUCACUCUGAUUUAUAUGCGCUGCAAGAGAAAAUGCUGCAAAAAGAAAGAUACAGGUCUAGGGGGUGAAAAGGAGAGGGAAAACACAUUUAAAAACAGCUCAAGCUGAUAUGACCUACUGUGUGUUUACUUACUGCUGAACGUAGGGAGAGUGAAAAUAGAAGCUUGUACUUCCAGAAAGGACUUUUCCUCUAUAGGAAGGCUGCUUUUGGACUGUUCAGCAUUGCAAACAUGGGACUGUCAGGCCAAGCAGAGAUGCAUAUGAUGGCAGGCAGACCAACGCCAGUGUGGGCUUUCAGACCCAGACACACAUGCUGCUGGUUUGUGUCUAGUAACCACAGAAGUAUGCUCUCUGAGCAGGUUUUUUGACAGUGCUUUGUUGUGUAAGGCUGGAGAGAGACAUUUGAAAACAAAAUACACCCCAGGGGAUCCUGUGUGCCGAACCACUGGAGAUGAUUUGGCGAUGCGCCAGUCCCCAGAAUAACGAGAUUGAAAAUGAGCUCUGACAGGUUAGAUGUAACACUGCAGGGCCAGCUGUGCCAGGCACCAGCCUCCCCAUUGGCAUGCCGAGGAGUUUCAGCUGCAAAGGCGUGUGCAGGGAGAAUUCAUUCCACCACAGAAUGGAAGCAAUGGCCUCCUUUGGAACGGAGACUGCUUUGGAGGCUGAUUCCAGGAGGACAUAUUCUCAGGGAGCAGGGAUUGGCUGUGUGUACCUCUACUGAGUGAUCCUAUGAACGGGCACAGAGCAGCUCAGGAGUGUGCUGGAGCCCUAGAUUUUCACUGCAAGUUGGAGAUCUAUCUCAUUUGGGAACUGCCAUUCUAGCUUCAGUUCCUGAAUGCUGCCCAAUGGAUAUGUUUGGUUUUCUGUGUGCAAGACUUUUGGUCCUGGAAUAAAUGGCAUAGGGUAAACAGGGGCUAAAACGAAACUUCUGAGCUCUUGGAUGGCUCAAGGUGAACGUUCAAACACAGGACUGGGUGUGGAUGGAAGCACACAGCCCACUGAGUCUUUGGACAGAGGAUUACAGUAUAGCUGCUGUUGUAAAUUUGGAUCGGAUGUGUUGGCCGAGCUGUGUCUGACAGGAGCCCUCUGUGUUCAACAUAAUAAAAGAGAAUUGGAAGGAAAUGCUUCUGCCUGUAAACGACUGUGACAGACCUGUGCAAUGAGAAAUGUCUGUCAGCGUGUUCAUAUGCACUAGAUUUAUUCAUUGAAAUGAUACGUUUGCUAGCAAAUUUUUAACAAGCUUACUCUAGUGGAAAACUCAGCCCUAAAUAGUUUAUUUCUCUCUCUUGACUUAAGAAAAUGAAGGAGAAAAAAAUAUUCAUUUAUUCUCCCCUCUCUGCCCUACUCUCCUCCAAAAUGGAGAAGAAUUUGCAUACGUGGCCUGAAUACAGUUUGGUUCUGAGCAAAGCACAGGUGACACUGCCAAGCGUGGUGUCUGUAUCUGCCACACUAAAACGUGCUCAGUCUCGAGAGGAAAUGCUGCUUUAUGGUCCAGUAUGGCAGUGCCCUCAGAGACUGGUAGCAAGGACGAGGUGGAGGGGAAGCAGAGCUGAAGAAAUCCUUACGUUGCCUUUGCUGAAGAGUUCUGCCUGCAUGCAGCUGGAGAUAGAAAUGGAAGGUGGGAGUUGGGACUGCACAGGAGCCCUUGUUGGGUGCUCUAUGUGGGAACAUGCCACAGGUGACUUUACUGUGCUCCCACUGGGGACGUAAAGGAUGUGAGAAAGAUAACCCACAGCUACACUUCUGCAGCACCAGCGCAGCCUGUAGUCCAAGUGCUGAUAUAUUAAAACCUGGAUAAAGAUUAGGAGCCUUAUGUUUAAUGGCUUCUGCUCAGAAUUCUGACAACUGUCCUGAACUUGAGCUUCAUGUGACAUUUCCCAAGAUAAAUUCAGCUCUUCUGAGUCAUCUAAUCUUCUGUCAGAGGCCAGGUAAAAUAUUUCAUGGACACCAAUGUUUAAUCUGGCAUCAAAAUUUCUAAUGGACAAAAAGGAGCUCUAGUUCCUCCCCAUGUUGUGAAUGUGAAGCCUGUUCUGCUGCCCUGGUGAAAUCCCAGCUUCACAGAACCCCUUGCAUUCCUUGCCACCAGGUUCACAGCGCUCAGGGGAAGCGGGCACACUGUAUUUUUUUCUCUCUAAAUUUUGCAUAAGGCUUUAGGCAAGAAAACAGUUCUGCAGAUAAUCUUGAAAUUAGUCUUCCAGCCUUUGUGUUAUUCAGGAUGCAAGUGAAAUAAGGGCUGGUUAGUUUGCGGGACAUCUGUUGCCCCAACCGUCUCUCUAGACCAGAUAAAAGCUGCAAACUAAACAUUCAUAUGGACUUUGUUUUUAAAAGCAAAAUGCUUGAAAACUAAUACUGGAAUCCAAAACUUUUUUCUGCCCAGGGCUUUCUUGGCAGCUCUAAGCAGACUUUGCAGCCUAUUCUAAUGUCUAGUCAGGAAAAGAAUCAGCUGAAAAAAAACAGCUGAAAACAGCUAAAAGAAAUUCUGUUUUCCUUAUGGACAUAAAGAGAUUUUUCUAGCUUUUUAAAGCUGUUUUCUUCUAAGAAGAUAUAUUCAGUUAUCUAUCCAUCUUCCCUCAGAUGGAGUCAUUGUAUUUUAUGUCUUUUUUUUGUUUUGUUUUGUUUUCUAAAGGAUCCUUGCUGUGCUGUGUGAAAAAGAACUGAUUCUUAUCUUGGAAAUUGAGAAUCGGACAUAGAAGUAAUAAAAGUCAAAAUGAUUUACCAGAACUAAUGAAGAAAUUCAGUGAUGGAGUUAAGAUUCAAAUCUAAAUCUGUUUCCUUCUCUAUGCCUUAUUUCAGAUUUAGGUCAGCUCUUUCUGGGCUGCAACUGGGAUCAUUGAAAGCAGUGCAGAGCCUUCCAGGAACUUCAGGAACUGAGAAACAGCAGCUGGGUGGUAACAGUUCCAGAGCUGCCGCGGAAGGGCAGGGGGUGACACCCUGAGGAGCAUUGUAUGGAGCCUUUUGUUAGAUGCAACAUCAAGGCAAGGCACCACAAGAAACUGAAUUUAUAAGUAACCCCUCAGGUGAAUUCACAGUAACCUGCACCAGGGUGCUAACAAACCUUCAUGGGGGACCACAGCCCCUGACCCAAGAGCCCUGUCCCAGCUCAGCCCAGGGCACGCUGUCCUUGCCCAAGCUGUGUUCCUGAGUCACUCUUUGUAUUUCCUGGGCUGACCUGAGGCCUGACUGCUCUUAUGACCUACUGAAACUACAUAUAUUUGGCAAUUUGUCACUGGACUAAAUAGAAUAGUGGUUUUGCAAAAGAAGAUCAUUUCUGUAAUUAGUAUGUAUCUUGGCAUGGUCCUUUGAACAAAACAGAUUUUACUUUAUAGAUGACUGUGUGGCUGAAAGAAGCUUCUAGAUCAGCUGAGCUGCAGUCGCAAGCAUCAAUAGACUGGGAGUCAUCAUGACCAGAUGUGUUCCUUACUGUACUAUGGUUUUUAUUUCCUUUUAACAUGAAAGCCUAUCUCUGUGUUAGUUAUGUUUUGGAAAUCACAUCAGGUGGUUGUUUUAUUUUAACUAGGAAGAAGGAACGUGUAAGCUCAAAUCAGUGUAAGAAAAAUGGAUCUAUUUUUAGGUGGCAAUAUAGUUAUGGAGCAAUAAUAAAAACAUUACCAAUCCACAGGCAUAUGGGACAAGAGUACCUACAGUCAGAAUGGUUUGUGUGCUGAAGGCAUAUAUAGAAAUUGCUCAUGUUCCCUAAAAAAGUAUCUUAUGAAAAUUCAUUGUUUUUUUUUUGAUACUUAUCAGUAUGUUUAUUAGUCUUAAUAAUGACACUGAUUCUACUAGUAAUUACUGUCAGAUAUGGUUCUCACAUGAACCAUUAUAGAUUUUUUUCUUAAUUUUGUGUCAUUAACCAAAUACUUCAGAAACAUGCUACUAAAGGAUGUUCUACUUUCUUGAGAAGAGACCUUAUAUUAGGUACUUGAGAAUCAAAUCCAGUGUAAGAACAAAGAGCUUGCAUGCAUUUACAGCAAUUAAAAGGGUAAAUCUUGGUUUCGAUGGAAUUUUUUUUUUGACUUCACAGUUCUAAAAUUAAUUUCAUAUUUCUCUAUUCCAUUCACAGAAUUUAAAGAGAGGUAGUACUGGCAAACAUGCGGCCUUUUUGCUGGCACGAAGAUGAAUCUGCUGGCCAGUCUUGCACGUAUGUCCCAGCAGUGGGACUACAGAGAUGUGGAAUGCCACAGUUCUAUGAUAGAGAGAUAGACAGCUCUCAGAUAGCUCUGGCUGCAGGAAGACAGUAGCAAGAGCUGCAGGGGACUGUAGCGAGAGCCUCAGCUCAUCCUUUUCUCCCAUCUCUGAGAGCAGCCACCUGCUUUGUAAGGACCUUUGUAAAGAAGUUAGGGAGGUUCUUAUCUGAAGGGAAAGCUUCCAGCUGUGUGUCUUGACAUAGGCUACGUUCUUGCAUAUCUUUCUUCCUGUUCAUAUAACUGUAGAUGUUCUCCCUGAGGUGAAUUGUCAGUGUCAGCUGUCGUUGCUCCAGUGGCUUCAGGAGAGAUGACAACAAAUGUGUCUGAGAACUGCUCUGCUCUCUGCAAGUCUGCCUCUCAAACCCACGCAGCUUUCCAGCUCCUGUUCAGCUUUCAGUCCAUGAAAGCACAGUGCUCUCAUCUCCUGAAUUGCCAGGAUUCGAACAACUUCACUGGGGCUGUCUUAAGUAGGAAUUGCCUCUCCAGGUCUGGGCAGAAUUACUUACCACCAAUGAGGGAUUCAGAGCACUGAACCACAUAGAGACCCAAGGAGGUGUCGGAAGGCAGUUUUGGUGUUCUUGUUGUAGUUUUGUUAACCAGCCUGAGGUGGGCUGUGUAGCAGUCCCAUUUUGUGCUUGAUACAGGGCCACACACCACAAGACUUCAUCGGCACAAGAGCUAGAGGUGAGUGGUUGUGAAGUACUUCCAAGCUAGGGGUGAGUGGAGCAUCAGUAUUCUGAAUCUUCUGUGGGACUUAGCUGCCACUCUUGCAUCAAAUACAAGCCUGGGUAAUUAUUUAGAUGGCAUCUCAUCCUAAAAUAAUUAGGAGUUUUUAAGCUUCCUCGGGCCCUGAUAAGGCAGAUCUCAGCCUAUCUUUCAAAGAAUAUUUUCCUGAUUGAUAGGAAUGCUUUCAGAUGUGGCUUAUUUUUUCUUAGAGGACAAACAUAUAUGAAGUUCUUGUAUCACCUGGUAGAAGUGAAGGGCCAGUAACUUCUUUCUCAUUUAUUUUCAGUCAGUUUAUCUGUUUGAGUUGCAAUUGGAUUUAUUUUCUCAGGGUUAGAGCUUCUUUAAGGGCCUCUUAUUCAUGCUCUCUUUCCUUUAAAAUUAACGGAUUUUCUGGGGAACAGCAAAGAGGACACUUAAAUUAUAACUCUUUUCAGAAGCCUUAUAUAUUCAGUGAGGUUGUUUGCAAUUAUUGUCAUUGCUAAUUUGAUUAGCUCAGUCUUUCAUACUUCUCUUUCUUCCCUGGAAGACACAGCUCUGAAGUACUCAUCUCCACAACACAAGCUGUGAGAGCAGUAAAUCCGCUGGCUUCUGUGCUGUGUCUCUCGCUUAGUUGCUCUCUGUGUUUUUGGUUAUCUAUGGAGUGAAUCACUCCUUGAGCUCUGAACACUUCAUACAAAGAAUUGUAGCAUCGGGGCCAGGUGAGCUUUUCUUGCUGGGUCAUCUGUCUUGCAAAAGACAUCAUCUCUUUCCUACUGCUCUCAGCACGCUGCUGACAAGCUGGUAUUCCUAGAAAUGGGGAUGAGUCUUAACUUCAGUCCUUAGGAGAAUUAUCCCUUGACAGUAUAAGCAGCCCAAACUUUCUUUUGAAGCCCAAGGAUGUGACUGCUUAGGUUAAAGAAUGUGAAACUCUGGAGAAAAUGAGCACUCUUUUGUACUAUUAAAAGUGACUUAAUCACUGGUGAUCAGUAAUAAACUGUGCUACUUGUUGGACAGGUUCUGACUUUGAGGGCAUUGCAAUGAAGACCUUGGCAACAGAAAGAUGGAGACAACUACAUUUUUAUAAUUUAGGAGAGAAAUUUCUCUGAGGAGACAUAACUGGGUCUUUGUCUUCAAGGUCACCUAGUGCAUAUUCCUUACUUUGUUAAUUCCUUUCCUGUGGGACAGCAUAAAUCCAUUUUGUACAAGAUAGGACAGAGAGUGAUGACCUGAAGCUGAGGCAGCAAAAAUUGAAGCUAAACAUCAGUAAAAUUCUUCAUGAGUUUUAAUAGUGAGCAUCAAGAACAGCUCAAAUGGUACAGACCUGAAGCAACAUUCCUUAAGGGAAUAAAAACCAUCAGCAAUUAACGAUGACAUACUAAGCAGUGUUACUGAGAAGAAAAUUAACGUACUAGAGAAAGCAUCGGUGCUAUGCAGGGUGCUAUGUCUCUGUAAAGUUUCUGCGGUGAAAGAGUUUAAUCUUCAUUAGCAGUGUUGGUAGGAUUGUAUGGAGCUGACGAACAGAGGGUUUGGAUUUGCCUAGACAACAUUUUUAUCACUGCAGCAAAUGUUGCCAGGAUUAGCAUUAUUUUGAUUGCCAUUAAAUGAAUAGGGAGCGUGUUGGAAGGGAGACCAAUUCCCAAAGCACUGGUUUUCUUCCGUUUCUGGAAACGAAACCAGGUACAGAGCAGAUUUUAUUUCCUAAAGUAAAUAAACUUCAGAGUGAAUUUAGUUAAUUGCCAUCCAACAAAAUAGCCUAUCAGAUUAAAAUUAUUUCCAGGUCAGUGGCAAGAUCUGUGCAAGGAAUUUAAAAGAAAUGCUAAUACUUUCUGGUCAGGAACUCAGAAAUUAGGAGACAGAAGAGUUACCAUUUCUCAAAAAUAUUGCUUUGUUGAAUAUGCACGACAGAGUACCUGAUUGCCAGCUUAUUCCAACAAUGGAUUUCAGUCCGUGUCAGCCUUGGUUGAUCACAGCUGGGAUCAGGAUUGACUGGCAUGGAUAAAGCACCCUUAGCCUAGAAAUACUGAUGGCCAAAACUUCUGUGCAAGUUCCCCACUCGGUCCUUCCUGCUGAAGCUGGGCAGAAGUGACUGUGUGACAUUUUUAAGGUCAGAUUGUGCAUAUCCUAUUUGUAAUAUCUGUCUCUUGGAUUGAAAGGUGGGACGCCAGUGUCUGUGUUCCCUGCUUCUUUCGGUCACUUCAGUUUCCAGGGUCAGUUGUGCUGAUUCAGCCUUGGGGGUUCCCCUUCAGUCACCAGAUCACACUUAUAAAGUCAGAGAUUUGGGUCAGAGAUCUGAAGGAGUAACCACGUUAUUUCUUAAUCUUUGCAUACUUAAAACUGUGCCCAUCGGCUACCAGCUAUAAUAUCAUCCAGUUCUUAUACAGCUUUUCAGCCACAGAUUGGAGAGUACUGCAAGGAUUGUUUCUGUGGGCAUAAGUCCUUUGGAAAUGUCAGCCAUCUGCAGCUCACCUGGUGCCCUGCUCAGCAGAACUGCAGACAAAUUGCUCCAGUACCUUCUUUAGGGGUCUGCUUACCAAUGAGCAUCCUGUUGUCAGGAUAAGCCUUGGUCUGCCAUGGUUUUGUCCUGAAGCUACCUUGCUCUGAGUAAAUCCUGGAUCAUACAGUAUGCCUGACUAAACAAUGACCCAGUGAAUCACAUCAGAGGAACAUCUUCACUUUAAGUGGAAGGUUAAAAUCGUGCAGGUCAACCUUACUCUUCUGUCCUGGAGCUGAUAGUGUGCCAUGAAACAACCUCAGCUCAGGAGUGUUGUCUGAAGGCUGUGCUUACCACACUGAUCACAGGUAGCUGCCUCCUGCGGGACAGGGCUCAACUCACUGCUUAAGGAUCAUGCUGGAAGCGGGCCAGGCUUGAGCCUGUUUUUGUUACAGUAUGGGCUGAAAGGGAUUGGCAGAUGAAAGCAUCCCCUUACAGAUGUGGAAACCACAAACCAUACCAAGCCGUCCGGGACCGUAUCUGGGAAGUGAGGCAGGCUAUAAAUACAAACGCAAACUAGGCCCCUAUGUCCGUAUGUGAUCAAAACAAAGUGGAUUAUCAAAUUAUUGUCUGAUAGCUGAGCUGCAGUAAGACUCUGCGUGCACCGCAGCGGUGAGAUAAAAUCCAUUUUGCACAUGAAAUUGGCUGAGAGCGAAUAUGCACUUAGUUACACAAGGUAGCAGGCAGGUGGCAAUUUGCAGUAAUAUAUUCACUUUUAACCGUGUGCCUGUGCUUUGAGAUGAUGAAUGACUAUAAAAUGCAAAUUAACCACCGUUAACGAGGAAGAAGAGCCAGGGUGCUGCUGUGUUGUUUCUUUAUUUCCUUAGGUUUUAUGUGGAUCAGGCUCAGCUGAUAUGGACCCAUGUUUUAGUGUUUAGCAGGAAAGGCAGUGAAGAUGCAGAAACAUUCCUGAGCACGCUGCAGGUGCGUGCUGUUAUUAAAGAAAUAACAGUGGUCCGUCCUGUCAGGGAUCCCCAAAGGCCGGCGGCUCAUCAUUAUUUCUCCAGUUUUGUAUCAUUUUGUACGUGUGAAGCUAUUUACAGCCUUCCCUUUCACUUGCCUUUGUCUAAAUGUAUUUUCGGGCUGCUUGAAAGGGUUAAGAACAGACACAGACAUAUCCUGUUGGGAAAAAUGGGGGGAUGCAUCCCAGACUCUUUCUUUCAUUUCAGACAUAGUUAUGCUCAUUUUUACCACUAAUAACUGGUCACUGUGGACAAAUAGAUUGAAAACAUGCAAAGAGGGACAAAAUAAACAUGCUGCAAACCCACUUCUCUCUAACUAGGUUACUUAAUAUGGCCCUAUGAGAUAACAGCAGUAUGAGAGUAAGACGUAAGAUACACAGAGCACCAGAGUUCAACAAGAGCAAGCAUGUAUUUCAGUAUGCUCAGAGCGCUGACCUGGGAACCUGCAUCCUGCCUCGCUUCAAGCAUUUCUCUGGAUGAUUUAAUUUAGAGUUGUAUUACAUUCCUCAGUUCCUCAUUUGUGUCUCGCUCUGUGAUAAUUUUCAUCCCCUGAUGAAGCAUUCUGAACUUUCACUUUCCUGGAGAAUGAAGCCAACAGACUCUAUGAAUGUAUCACUGUUUGUAGACAUUGAGUUUUCACUUUAGGGCAGCACAAGAACUUUCCAGAUUAGAGAUCCCAGUUAAGGUGGGGGGGAGUGAGCUACAGCAUAGUCACCGACACGUCAAGCAGUGACGUACAGAAGUCUCUUCUCACUGGGUUAAAUCUUCUGUGUUCCUCUCUUAGAGUGCCUUGGAAUAGCCCCAGCAUCUUGGAAGGACCAGAUGCCUUCAUUCGGUGCCGCUGGGUGUCUCACUGCACACCUUUCAUUGUCAACCAGCUUUCAGGUAAAACUGAAGCAUGGCCGUCACGUCAGCGCUGUCUGGCUGGUAAGGAAGGAGAAGUGCAGUUUCUAGAAAUGACCUGAAUGGUUUGUUAUUUUCUUGAUGCAUUUUGCUAGCCAACUAGCGAGGGUUGGACGUGUCCCGCCGUCUCAGAGCUAACUGUAAAGAGGUGAUGCAAAUACAAAUGCUAAUUCCCUGUCAGAGGCUACCAGCCAGGUUCUGCUCUCUGCUUCAUUAGAGAAAAACACAUAGGGACUGCAGUGAGAUCAGCAGACUCUGUCUAGAUUUACACUCAUGUGAUAGAGUUUGGCCCAAAGAGACUGAAAACAACUGAGGUAUCACUUAUUCAUUGAAUAUAGCUGUCGUACUCUGUUCAGGAAAAUAUUUUAACCAGGCCCUUUAUAAUAUUGCCUGUGCUCUAUGACUAAUUUCUACAGCAAUACCAAUUUAAUACUGUAGCAAUUUAUUCACUGAGAAGGAAGGAAAUUGCUUGGUUGAAUAAUGGAGAGGAGAAAGAACCCAGGAGGUGCGUGGCAGUUUCCAUUGACCAAAGGAGUACUAACUAACUAUAACGCAACGAAACAAAGUUCCUUCAAGAGCAAUAAAUAAGGAGCUUAAUACAUCACUCGCAGGUACGAGCUGCUUAAUCUUUGUAAGACAUUGGUUUUGGCUGCUUGGAAGCCAGACUCCGUUUUGCCUGACAUAAACAUUACUUUCACAGCCCCGAGCCAUCAGUUUGCAACUAGCACAGGCAAUCAUUUUACUGCAGUGCUUCUGCUAAUUUUGUCUCCAUACCAUUGCUGUGCUGAAGCGGGGGAAAGCAGUCAGAACACUGGUAAGUAGCUCUUACGAUCACAGGAGAGGGCUGCUCCUGUGUUUUGCUGUUGGGAUUUUUUUUUAAGUGUAAGUAAACUCAUAUUAAGUGGAAGCUGGUUUGUGCUCUUCUCCUUCAGGUUUGCAAUUCUUAAAGUGCAGAAGUUGCAGUGCAAGUUAUCUUAGCCUGUUCUGAGAAAUGUAGGAUGAAAUAUGAAAAAUGACUCAGCCCUGCUGAUUUUAUUGAGCAUCCUUUUAGAAACACUGUGAAAUGUCUGAAUGAAUCCAGGAAGAUGAAGCCUCAGAAACGCACCACCUAAAUAAUGAGCCUGUAACUGCAGCUUGUCUGUUCUCGAACAGGCAGUCUGCUCACCUGCUGUCCUGAGAUGAGGUAGAAACUGCCCUCCCUUCAUGCAUUUUUCUCUGCUGUGGAAGAGGGAGAUGUGAUGGUGCUGGAGUGGUAUUCAGCUUUGUUUUUUUUCCGUUGUUUUUUUUUCCCCUAAUAAAGUGAACUGCCGGAGAACGGAACCAACAGAAGCGCGUAGCACUGCGCAUGCGCACAGGCUCGCCACAGAA